rnacentral:rRNA from 1 species
GAUGAACGCUGGCGGCGUGCCUAACACAUGCAAGUCGAGCGGACGGACGCUACGGGUUACUCGAUGAGGUUACGGGCGGGUGAGUGAUGAAUACGUUGCUACCCUCUUUAGGAUAAUCAGAUAACAUGGGGGAUCCUGAGCUAUAAGACGAUGAUAUGUAGAAGGUCAGGGUUCAAAGGUGAUCGGCGUGGUUGCUGUUCCUAGUCGAUAGGCCCGCGCUGGAUUAGCUAGUUGGUAAGGGAACGGCGUACCAAGGCGACGAUGCGUAGCCGAGCUGAGAGGGUGAUCGGCCACACUGGAACUGAGACACGGUCCAGACUCCUACGGGAGGCAGCAGUAGGGAAUCUUCGGCAAUGGGCGAAAGCCUGACGCAGCAAGGCCGCGUGUGUGAUGAAGGUCUUCGGAUCGUAAAGCUCUGUUAUUAGGGAAGAACCUCUGUGUGCAGAAACGUGGCCAUCUUGACGGUACCUACAGAAGAAGCGCCGGCUAACUACGUG